CCUACGGGUUGCUGCAGUGGGGAAUAUUGGACAAUGGGCGAAAGCCUGAUCCAGCCAUGCCGCGUGUGUGAAGAAGGCCUUCGGGUUGUAAAGCACUUUCAGUGGGGAAGAAAGCCUUGGGGCUAAUACCCUCGAGGAAGGACAUCACCCACAGAAGAAGCACCGGCUAACUCCGUGCCAGCAGCCGCGGUAAUACGGAGGGUGCGAGCGUUAAUCGGAAUUACUGGGCGUAAAGCGCGCGUAGGCGGUCUGAUAAGCCGGUUGUGAAAGCCCCGGGCUCAACCUGGGAACGGCAUCCGGAACUGUCAGGCUAGAGUGCAGGAGAGGAAGGUAGAAUUCCCGGUGUAGCGGUGAAAUGCGUAGAGAUCGGGAGGAAUACCAGUGGCGAAGGCGGCCUUCUGGACUGACACUGACGCUGAGGUGCGAAAGCGUGGGUAGCAAACAGGAUUAGAUACCCGGGUAGUC
rnacentral:rRNA from 1 species